rnacentral:lncRNA from 1 species
GCCGAAGCCACCGUGCACCUCAUCAUAGCCACCAGCAUCAGCCCCAAUAUGACCAUUAAAGUGCCCUCCUAUAACUAAUUUCUCAGAUUGGGGAAUACUACUCACCAGAUCAUUCAAGUCCUCUCAAAAGCGCCUCUUAGCCUCCUCGUCUAAGCACGCUUGCGGCGCAUAAGCGCUGAUGACGCAACCCCCAAUAACCAGCUUAAUAGACAU